rnacentral:rRNA from 1 species
UACGUAGGUGGCGAACGUUAUCCGGAAUUACUGGGCGUAAAGGGUCCGUAGGCGGAACGACAAGUCGGACGUGACAGAGCGCGGCUCAACCGCGCGCGGUCGUUCGAAACUGUGGUUCUGGAAUCGGUGCGAGGUCGGCGGAAUUCCCGGUGUAGUGGUGGAAUGCGUAGAGAUCGGGAAGAACCUCAACGGCGCAGGCAGCCGGCUAGUGCCAGAUUGACGCUGAGGGACGAAAGCGUGGGGAGCGAACAGG